rnacentral:rRNA from 1 species
AUACGGAGGGUCCAAGCGUUAUCCGGAAUCAUUGGGUUUAAAGGGUCCGCAGGCGGUCAAUUAGGUCAGAGGUGAAAGCCCAUCGCUCAACGAUGGAACUGCCUUUGAUACUGGUUGACUUGAGUUAUACGGAAGUAGAUAGAAUAAGUAGUGUAGCGGUGAAAUGCAUAGAUAUUACUUAGAAUACCGAUUGCGAAGGCAGUCUACUACGUAUAUACUGACGCUGAGGGACGAAAGCGUGGGGAGCGAACAGGAUUAGAUACCCCAGUAGUCC